rnacentral:rRNA from 1 species
UGGGGAAUAUUGGACAAUGGGCGAAACCCUGAUGCAGCCAUGCCGCGUGUGUGAAGAAGGCCUUCGGGUUGUAAAGCACUUUCAGCGAGGAGGAAAGGUUGAUGCCUAAUACGCAUCAGCUGUGACGUUACUCGCAGAAGAAGCACCGGCUAACUCCGUGCCAG